CUUCCCGGGGUGGGGGCCGUAUUUCUCUGUGUCCUACUCUGAGCAACUUCUCAGAGAUACGAGGGGGCUAGGGUUUUCCUAUCUGGGAAAUGGGGUGAAAGUCUGCAGAUUGUUAAAUGAAAUAUAGAAUCAGAGAAAAAGAAAAGUCAGUGAUAGAAAUAGAUUAUUUCUUAGAAAUUAGGGUAGAUUUUUAUUUCAACUACUACUGGAGAAUUUAAUAAAAGGCAUUAUUUGAAAAGUUUUUCUAACAGAUUUAGGUUGUUUUUUUUUUAGAAUGGACACUACUGUACAUUUAAAAGCAAUUAUUUUGCUAUUCAGAUUUUUUAUUAUCUGAAAAUGAAAUUAUCUGUUUUACUUUUCAAAGCUUUGUGAAACGAAGUUAUAGGGAGGUAAGCCAUCUCCAACUCUGCAGGUCAAACAAAAGUUUGGGAAAUACUUUUGACAUCCCACAAUACAGAAUGUCUUAACAUGAUAAUUGAAUUUCAUGAUGUGUGGUUCCAUUUAAUAAUGGACACCACCCCAAUCUCAUAUUUUCCUGUUACCCUAAAACAGUGGAAGGAAACUGGGUGUUUGGUAGACUUCUAAAUCAUGGUCUCCGACGAUUUGAAUCUGAGAUUCUCACCUCCAUUUACUAAAGAAUCAUGACUUAAUUCAAAUUGCACAGUAAUCAGUGAAGUGAAUACGUUUUUAAAAUGGAAUUUUCUCCCUUCAGCAAGCACUCAUUAAGGAGUGAGGCUGAGUAUUUUAAGAUAGAGUGAGAUCUGUGAGUGAUUGAAAGGUGACAUUUAAAAACUUGGAUUUCAUUCCAGUGUCAGGUUUGGGUUUUAAGUUCCUUUGGUCUGGGGAAGGGUCCAAGCAGCCACAGUUGCCCUAAAUCUCCAUCAUUAAGUCUCCCAGCAAGGUUAAGUGCGGUAUGGAAGGAGAAGGGGGAAGAGGACGGUAACGGCCCCGCACUCCAGGCUGAGAAAGAGGAAUUAGGAGGCCUGAGGAGGGGCCGAGGAAAGGCUGUUGGGGUGUGCUGGGGUUGGUACCCGAGCGCCUUCCCCUCACCUCAACCAGAGAAGAGCAUCCAGUUGCUUUUUAAAGCUUUUAGCCUGCCCUAGCAAGGACAAAGCAUGGUAGAUUAAAGAUGCUUCUGCUGAUCGCAGGGGUUCUUAUUUGAAAACAUCUAUGUUGGGGGUGGGGUGGGAGGAGACAGGUUGUGGUUAUGCAGGAAAAUCUUGUCCUAAAAAUAUAUGAGUUUGGGGGUAAGGGGUGGGAUAGCCAAGCAAAAUCAGUAAUUAUUUUAAAAUGAACAUACGUAUUUUUAUUAACUUUUAGUUAAAUUCAGAUUUUACAACGAGGUCAGCAUAAGCCUAAAUCUAUAUAGAGAGCUAACUCAGGCAUUGUCUUGUUUAUUUGUAGACUGGAUUAAAAACAACCUGUCCUGUUUUGUCAGUUCCCAGCUUCUUCGUUUAGAAUAAAUUAGACCAAAAGAAGAAACGUGCUUGUCUCUGUAUACCCACAGAAUGAAGUUACUAUUGUUAAAACUGGAUUUUUUCAUUUUACUAGGUUCCGAAGAGUCCAGGUGCUUGGUAGAUGUUCAAUACGUGAUUUUUUUUUUAAUUGAAUGUGUUCAUUUAAAAUCCUCCUUAACAUUUCUAGAAAGACUUCUUUCAAUAAAUAAUGGAAUCUUAGAGGAAAAGUGGUUUUUUAAAAGCUGGGGAACUCCACUAAAAGUAACCAUUGGAAACCUCGAAUGAGGGCUAAAGUUCUAAUCAUAAGAGAAAAGGCAGCAUAAUGUGUACACAUACAUAGUCAGUGGUCCAUUUUAGGAAGCCAGUGGCGUCUGAUAAAUGUUAAGAGUAGUGAGGUUGGGGAAGGAAAUUGUGGGGAUUUGUAAUAUUCUCUUUAUGUUGUUUCUCUUCUGAGUCAUGGUAAAACAAU
ensembl:lncRNA